rnacentral:rRNA from 1 species
GACGAACGCUGGCGGCGUGCCUAAUACAUGCAAGUUGAGCGAUGAAGAUUGGUGCUUGCACCAAUUUGAAGAGCAGCGAACGGGUGAGUAACGCGUGGGGAAUCUGCCUUUGAGCGGGGGACAACAUUUGGAAACGAAUGCUAAUACCGCAUAAUAACUUUAAACAUAAGUUUUAAGUUUGAAAGAUGCAAUUGCAUCACUCAAAGAUGAUCCCGCGUUGUAUUAGCUAGUUGGUGAGGUAAAGGCUCACCAAGGCGAUGAUACAUAGCCGACCUGAGAGGGUGAUCGGCCACAUUGGGACUGAGACACGGCCCAAACUCCUACGGGAGGCAGCAGUAGGGAAUCUUCGGCAAUGGACGAAAGUCUGACCGAGCAACGCCGCGUGAGUGAAGAAGGUUUUCGGAUCGUAAAACUCUGUUGGUAGAGAAGAACGUUGGUGAGAGCGGAAAGCUCAUCAAGUGACGGUAACUACCCAGAAAGGGACGGCUAACUACGUG